UCCCCCCCCCUGCCUUUUGGCUAAGAUCAAGUGUAGUAUCUGUUCUUAUCUGUUUUUUUUUAAUUCAGCCUACAGUGAGUAGACCGUUAUGACAAGUGGUUAGUCCAUUUUCAUUGAAAAUGUGAAAGCCCAAGAAACCACU
rnacentral:snRNA from 1 species